AAGAGACCCCCAUAACUCUACCACUUCCUAAUCUCUACUCUCAUUUAUGAAACAUAGCAGAGCAGGGUUUAAGAAACGAUCU
rnacentral:sRNA from 1 species